rnacentral:rRNA from 1 species
GAUGAACGCUGGCGGCGUGCCUAAUACAUGCAAGUCGAGCGAACGGACGAGAAGCUUGCUUCUCUGAUGUUAGCGGCGGAUGGGUGAGUAACACGUGGAUAACCUACCUAUAAGACUGGGAUAACUUCGGGAAACCGGAGCUAAUACCGGAUGAUAUUUUGAACCGCAUGGUUCAAAAGUGAAAGACGGUCUUGCUGUCACUUAUAGAUGGAUCCGCGCUGCAUUAGCUAGUUGGUAAGGUAACGGCUUACCAAGGCAACGAUGCAUAGCCGACCUGAGAGGGUGAUCGGCCACACUGGAACUGAGACACGGUCCAGACUCCUACGGGAGGCAGCAGUAGAGAAUCUUCCGCAAUGGGCGAAAGCCUGACGGAGCAACGCCGCGUGAGUGAUGAAGGUCUUCGGAUCGUAAAACUCUGUUAUUAGGGAAGAACAUAUGUGUAAGUAACUGUGCACAUCUUGACGGUACCUAAUCAGAAAGCCACGGCUAACUACGUG